rnacentral:rRNA from 1 species
ACGGAGGGUGCGAGCGUUGUCCGGAAUCACUGGGCGUAAAGGGCGCGUAGGCGGCAUGCCAAGCGUGUGGUGAAAGCCCGGGGCUCAACCCCGGGUCUGCCGUGCCGACUGUCAAACUCGAGGGCUGUAGAGGCAGACGGAAUUCCGGGUGUAGCGGUGGAAUGCGUAGAGAUCCGGAGGAAGACCGGUGGCGAAGGCGGUCUGCUGGGCAGUUUCUGACACUGAUGCGCGACAGCGUGGGGAGCAAACAGGA